GCGAGUCGAAUGUAGCAAUACAUGGCGUACUGCUCAGUAACACGUGGACAACCUACCCUCAGGUCGGGGAUAAACCCGGGGAACUGGGUAUAAUACCCGAUAGAUCUCGGCUGCUGGAAUGCAUCGAGAUCUAAAGCUCCGGCGCCUGAGGAUGGGUCUGCGGCCUAUCAGGUAGUAGUGGGUGUAGCGUACCUACUAGCCUACGACGGGUACGGGUUGUGAGAGCAAGAGCCCGGAGAUGGAUUCUGAGACACGAAUCCAGGCCCUACGGGGUGCAGCAGGCGCGAAAACUUUACAAUGCCGGCAACGGCGAUAAGGGGACCUCGAGUGCCAGGUUACAAAUCUGGCUGUCGUGAUGCCUAAAAAGCAUUGCAUAGCAAGGGCCGGGCAAGACCGGUGCCAGCCGCCGCGGUAACACCGGCGGCUCGAGUGGUAACCGUUAUUAUUGGGUCUAAAGGGUCUGUAGCCGGCCGGAUAAGUCUCUUGGGAAAUCCAGCAGCUUAACUGUUGGGCUUUCAGGAGAUACUGUCUGGCUCGAGGCCGGGAGAGGUGAGAGGUACUUCAGGGGUAGGGGUGAAAUCUUGUAAUCCUUGAAGGACCACCAGUGGCGAAGGCGUCUCACCAGAACGGACCUGACGGCAAGGGACGAAAGCUAGGGGCACGAACCGGAUUAGGUACCCGGGUAGUCCUAGCCGUAAACGAUACUCGCUAGGUGUCGGCCACGGUGCGACCGUUGUCGGUGCCGUAGGGAAGCCGUG
rnacentral:rRNA from 1 species